rnacentral:rRNA from 1 species
CCUACGGGGGGCAGCAGUCGAGAAUCAUUCACAAUGGGGGAAACCCUGAUGGUGCGACGCCGCGUGGGGGAAUGAAGCUCUUCGGAUUGUAAACCCCUGUCAUGUGGGAGCAAAUUAAAAAGAUAGUACCACAAGAGGAAGAGACGGCUAACUCUGUGCCAGCAGCCGCGGUAAUACAGAGGUCUCAAGCGUUGGUCGGAAUCAUUUGGCGGAAAGCGUGCGUAGGCUGUUUCGUAAGUCGUGUGUGAAAGGCGCGGGCUCAACCCGCGGACGGCACAUGAUACUGGGAGACUAGAGGAAUGGAGGGGGAACCGGAAUGCACGGUGUAGCAGUGAAAUGCGUAGAUAUCGAGAGGAACACUGGUGGCGAAGGCAGGUUCCUGGACAUUAACUGACGCUGAGGCACGAAGGCCAGGGGAGCGAAAGGGAUUAGAUACCCGUGUAGUC